GCUGAAGGGCGCGCGGUGCCGACAGGGAGCUUCCUUGGCUGGCAUGGCGGCGAGCGCGCUGCGAGGCCUGCCAGUGGCUGGCGGAGGCGAGAGUAGCGAGAGCGAGGAUGACGGCUGGGAGAUUGGGUAUCUCGACCGGACGUCUCAGAAAUUGAAAGGGCUGUUACCCAUUGAAGAAAAGAAAGAAAAAUUUAAGAAAGCAAUGACCAUCGGAGAUGUUUCAUUGGUCCAGGAGCUCCUAGAUUCUGGCAUUAGUGUAGAUUCCACCUUUCAGUAUGGAUGGACUCCCCUUAUGUAUGCUGCUAGUGUUGCCAAUGCAGAGCUGGUUCGGGUCCUUUUGGACAGAGGUGCUAAUGCAAGCUUUGAGAAGGAUAAGCAAAGUAUUUUGAUAACUGCAUGUUCUGCUCAUGGCUCAGAGGAACAGAUCUUGAAGUGUGUAGAACUACUACUUUCAAGAAAUGCUGAUCCAAAUGUUGCUUGUAGGCUUUAACGUGGGCAGCACGUCAGGGUCAUAAAAAUAUAGUUUUGAAGUUGCUUGAACUUGGAGCUAAUAAAAUGCUACAAACCAAAGAUGGAAAGAUGCCAAGUGAGAUUGCAAAAAGAAACAAACAUCAUGAGGAAAACUUCAACAGCUAACUAAAGAAGACACUAUUUGUAAAAUAUUGACAACAGAUUCUGAUAGAGAAAAAGAUCACAUUUUUAGUUCAUAUACAGCAUUUGGAGAUCUGGAAGUAUUUUUACAUGGUCUUGGACUUGAACAUAUGACAGAUAUACUAAAGGAAAGGGAUAUAACGUUAAGACACCUUUUGACCAUGAGGGAAGAUGAAUUUACAAAGAAUGGAAUUACCAGUAAAGACCAGCAGAAAAUUCUGGCUGCUCUUAAAGAACUACAGGUAGAAGAGAUACAAUUUGGAGAGCUAUCUGAAGAGACAAAGUUGGAAAUCAGUGGUGAUGAGUUCCUCAACUUUCUUCUCAAAUUAAAUAAACAGUGUGGCCAUUUAAUAACAGCUGUACAGAAUGUUAUUACUGAGUUACCUGUAAAUUCUCAAAAGGUAUUCUACAAAAGUUAUUAAGUGAAGAAAAGUAUGAACACUGAAGAACAUUCCAGAUAAGUUCAUAAUUCAAUAAAUAGUAUUGAUUUGCUGAAAUUACAUCGUUUGUUCUGCAAAAUCACAUAAGAUCUAAAUAAGUCAAUUUGUUUAAUAUUACUCCUUUACAUAUUGAUUUUAAAACUUUGUAUUCUUGCCCUCAAGAAAAAGAAAAUGAGUCAGACCAAAAAUUAAACUGAUCCGUGUAUUGAAUUUACCAUGUGUUCUUUUUUAAAAUAUAAAGUGACAGGAGACCCAAGUGAAAAUGGAAAUAAAACAGUGUGUUAUUUAAAAACCAUAUCAAUAAAAUAUUUUUAAAUAAAUUUAGAAUAGGAAGAGUGUAAGUGGCCGGGCAUAGUGGCUCACAUCCGUAAUCCUAACACUUUGGGAGACCUACGUGGGAGAAUUGCUUGAGGCCAGGAGUUUGAGACCAGCCUGAGCAGCAUGGUGACACGACCCUGUCUCUACAAAGAAUUUUUAAAAAUUAGCUGCGCAUGAUGGCGUGUGCCUCUAGUCCUAGCUGAAAAUUAGCUGGGCAUGAUGGCAUGCACCUGUGGUCCUAGCUAUUCAGGAGGCUGAGGCAGGAGGAUCACUUGAUCCCAAGAGGUUAAGGCAGCAGUGAGCCAUGAUUGCACCACUGCACUCCAGCCUGGGCAACAGAACAAGACACUUUCUCAAAAAAAAGAAAGAAAAAGUGUAAGUGGCCUGCAAAAGCAGCUUAUUUCAUGUGAUUAGGUUUUAGCUGUUUGUCUUAGUGAAAGUUUUUUAAUGCACUUGUUUUCCAGUGAUUUUUAUAUAACAUCAAUUAAUAUGAGAAUCAUCAUUUUAAAAACCUUCGUGAACUGAUUUGUUCAUCAUAAAUGUUAUUACUAAUAUUAAUCUCCAUAUAGAAAGUUAUAUAUACAUAUAUUCAGGAAAUGCAUUUGGCAAGCUCAUUUGAUUAUAUGUUUAUAAAAUUACUUAUUUUUGGUGUCAAUAUUUAUCCUAAACAAAAAAAUGCCUUUCAAUUAUAUAAUCUAAUGUUUAAGAAUGUUGUAUAAUCUUUGUGGAUAUAAAGUUGUAGAAAGUUAUUUCCAUUAUUUAAUGUUGAACUUUUGAAAAUAUUAACAGAUAACACUGGAAUGGGCUUCUCCCCAGAAUUUUACUUCAGUUUGUGAAGAAUUGGUUAAUAAUGUUGAAGAUUUGAGUGAAAAGGUCUGCAAACUAAAAGACCUAAUUCAAAAGUUGCAAAAUGAACGGGAAAGUGAUCCAACUCAUAUACAAUUAAGGGAAGAAGUAUCUACAUGGAAUAGUAGAAUUUUGAAGAGGACAGCUAUUACCAUAUGCGGAUUCGGUUUUCUUCUUUUCAUUUGCAAGCUAACUUUCCAGAGGAAAUAAUCCAAAUAUUUGUUUUAAGUUAUAUAUACACAUCUUAUUGAACCAUCCAAAAAUCAUUGCUUUUAACUAUUUGCAGCACAAUAUAACUUUACAUUCUUUGCCAAUAUUCCAUAGGAAAAAUUUUGACAAUGUGGAGUUUUUUUUUAAAAAGUGGUUUGUUACUUUGACUUAUAAAUACAAUUUGUUAUGUUUAUGUUAAUUGUGAUUAGGCAGUAAAGUAUAAGUAAUUUUUUGGUUUGAUCGUAUGUAAAUCACAUUCAAAAUUAAAGUUAUAUCGAAUAUCUUUGA
rnacentral:sRNA from 1 species